UGGAUAACAGGUUGAUAUUCCUGUACCACCUAGUAUCGUUUUAAUCGAUGGGGGGGACGCAGUAGGAUAGGCGAAGCGUGCUGUUGGAGUGCACGUCCAAGCAGUAAGGCUGAGUGUUAGGCAAAUCCGGCACUCAUAAGGCUGAGCUGUGAUGGGGAGAGGAAAUUGUUUCCUCGAGUCGUUGAUUUCACACUGCCGAGAAAAGCCUCUAGAUAGAUAACAGGUGCCCGUACCGCAAACCGACACAGGUAGUCAAGAUGAGAAUUCUAAGGUGAGCGAGCGAACUCUCGUUAAGGAACUCGGCAAAAUGACCCCGUAACUUCGGGAGAAGGGGUGCUCUUUAGGGUUCACGCCCAGAAGAGCCGCAGUGAAUAGGCCCAAGCGACUGUUUAUCAAAAACACAGGUCUCUGCUAAACCGUAAGGUGAUGUAUAGGGGCUGACGCCUGCCCGGUGCUGGAAGGUUAAGAGGAGUGGUUAGCUUCUGCGAAGCUACGAAUCGAAGCCCCAGUAAACGGCGGCCGUAACUAUAACGGUCCUAAGGUAGCGAAAU
rnacentral:rRNA from 1 species